GGUGAAAGGCGAAGCUGUAGCAGCCACGCCGCGUGAGUGAUGACAGCCUUCGGGUUGUAAAGCUCUGUCGACAGGGACGAAGCUGACGGGACUGUACGUGUUGCUACGGACCGUUUCAUUACAUCAAACCUGGCCUAUAAUAGCCCCCCGCCGCUAUUUAAU
rnacentral:rRNA from 1 species